rnacentral:rRNA from 1 species
AUUGAACGCUGGCGGCAGGCCUAACACAUGCAAGUCGAACGAGUGGCGGACGGGUGAGUAAUGUCUGGGAAACUGCCUGAUGGCGGGGGAUAACUACUGGAAACGGUAGCUAAUACCGCAUACCAUCGGAGCGGCCGAGAUGGGAUUAGCUAGUUGGUGGGGUAAAGGCUCACCAAGGCGACGAUCCGUAGCUGGUCUGAGAGGACGACCAGCCACACUGGGACUGAGACACGGUCCAGACUCCUACGGGAGGCAGCAGUGGGGAAUGUUGCACAAUGGGCGCAAGCCUGAUGCAGCCAUGCCGCGUGUAUGAAGAAGGCCUUCGGGUUGUAAAGUACUUUCGGCAGGGAGGCGUUACCCGCAGAAGAAGCACCGGCUAACUCCGUGCCAGCAGCCGCGGUAAUAC